rnacentral:rRNA from 1 species
GACGAACGCUGGCGGCGUGCUUAACACAUGCAAGUCGAACGAUGAAGCCUAGCUUGCUGGGUGGUUUAGUGGCGAACGGGUGAGUAACACGUGAGUAACCUGCCCCUUACUCUGGGAUAAGCGCUGGAAACGGCGUCUAAUACUGGAUAUUACCUUUCAUCGCAUGGUGUGUGGUGGAAAGAUUUUCCGGUUUGGGAUGGACUCGCGGCCUAUCAGCUUGAUGGUGAGGUAGUGGCUCACCAUGGCGACGACGGGUAGCCGGCCUGAGAGGGUGACCGGCCACACUGGGACUGAGAGACGGACCAGACUCCUACGGGAGGCAGCAGUGGGGAGUAUUGCACAAUGGGCGCAAGCCUGAUGCAGCAACGCCGCGUGAGGGAUGACGGCCUUCGGGUUGUAAACCUCUUUUAGUUGGGAAGAAGCGUAAGUGACGGUACCUACAGAAAAAGCACCGGCUAACUACGUG